CACGUAGGGGCCAAGCGUUGUCCGGAUUCAUUGGGCGUAAAGAGCUCGUAGGCGGUUCAGUUAGUCGGGUGUGAAAUCUCCGGGCUCAACCCGGAGGGGCCACCCGAUACUGCUGUGACUCGAGUCCGGUAGGGGAGUGGGGAAUUCCUGGUGUAGCGGUGAAAUGCGUAGAUAUAGGAAGGAACACCAGUGGCGAAGGCGACCACCUGGACUGAUACUGACACUGAGGUGCGAAAGCGUGGGGAGCAAACAGG
rnacentral:rRNA from 1 species